GAUAGUUUAGGAUAAGUUGAGUCUAGUAGGUUCAUAUCCUGAUGGUUUUUCUAUUG
rnacentral:tRNA from 1 species